rnacentral:lncRNA from 1 species
CCUUAGCCCAGCACGUGGUGACGUAAGACGUAACGGCGCCCUGUGGUGGCCAUCUUUGUGAGGUCUAAAGGACGGUUUCUGUGGGCUUGUUUUGGGGGUAGGAAAGACAUGGGACAUCCAGUUAUGCGUAGACAGUCCAAAAUAAGUGCUACACAGCUCCUGCUCCAACUGAAGACAGCAACAUCAAUCCCUUCAGCUUUGCAGAGAGACAUCAGUAUCCUCUUCUCUCCGUAUCCUUCAGGUA